rnacentral:rRNA from 1 species
CCUACGGGUGGCAGCAGUGAGGAAUAUUGGUCAAUGGCCGGAAGGCUGAACCAGCCAUGCCGCGUGAAGGUCAGUGCCCUAUGGGCGUUAAACUUCUUUUGUGCGGGAGCAAUAAUGGUCACGUGUGGCCAGACGAGAGUACCGUAAGAAUAAGCAUCGGCUAACUCCGUGCCAGCAGCCGCGGUAAUACGGGGGAUGCAAGCGUUAUCCGGAGUUAUUGGGGUUAAAGGGUGCGUAGGCUGUGAGGUAAGUCAGCGGUGAAAUGCCCCCGCUCAACGGGGUGAAGUGCCAUUGAUACUGGCUUGCUGGAAUGCGGAUGCCGUGGGAGGAAUGUGGGGUGUAGCGGUGAAAUGCAUAGAUAUCACACAGAACACCGAUUGCGAAGGCAUCUCACGAAUCCGCGAUUGACGCUGAUGCACGAAAGCGUGGGUAUCAAACAGGAUUAGAUACCCGGGUAGUC